rnacentral:lncRNA from 1 species
AGUCGUCAGGCUGGUGGUGAUUGGAAAAUUUGAUGUGGACGACGUGCUAAAGGCGAUGGAUUGCCACCACAGUGUCCUUCGUUCCAUCGAGAACAAUUACGAGCCCCCCAAAAAGAAGGAAGCAGGCUCUAGCGUUAUAUAUGUGUACACCCACACCUACAACCAGUGGAAAACGUAUGAAACUAAAAAACGUAACGUUUUAAACGCGUUAAAAAACGCCGUUCUAAACUCCCAACGAGUUUGCACUAUUUGCGAAAAGAGACAAAGGUUUCUUUAGGGUUUCUUCAGAACUUCAUAAGGGAUCUCCCUCAUUGCUUUGCACGUUUUCACACCUCUUGCCCAAACUCCAGCACUCGCUCCGCUCCCCCAGUGUGAAUCUCAUGACAAUACUUACAUGUCCAGUGCCGCUCUGCUUGUAUCACAUGCUUCCAGCUCCAGCAUUCGUGGCGUCCUCCAAUUCCUGCCAUGAACCCUUAAAAAACCUCGCAGCAGUUUUUCCGAUUUCGAGCUAGCAGACCCAGCAGAUGCCGAUGAUGGGCAUCUGCUGCAGCAAGCCGCACAGGGUUCAGGGGGGCCAGCAGAAUCUAUGGUGGCAAGCACGGAGAACUGGUCCAGUGCUGAGACAAGCAGAUCAGCGAAACGGCUUCUUCUUUCAUUUGUUUUAGUAUGUUAUUCGGUUGGGUUUUAUAAACUUAAUAUUANNNNNNNNNNNNNNNNNNNNNNNNNNNNNNNNNNNNNNNNNNNNNNNNNNNNNNNNNNNNNNNNNNNNNNNNNNNNNNNNNNNNNNNNNNNNNNNNNNNNNNNNNNNNNNNNNNUUUGAACGUUUGCACGUCUAGCUGCAACUAUGACUGGAAGUGAGUUAAAUAGUGUUUGUGUGUAAAAAUAGAUUUUCUCUUCCACCUCAAAUUCUUGAAUGUGGAAUUCAUGGGAGUGAAGCCAAUUUCGAAAGUUGAUGUCUCAAUCAAGGGCAUUAAUUUAUCUCGGUUCAGAGUUCAAAAGUGAAUCUAAAACAUUGAUCCCACAGAAAGAAGAAAGAAAACGCACUGGUGCAUUUGACUGUAAAGGAAUGUGGUUCAUUCUUCACCUUGAACUUUGAGGAGAUUAAUUCUCUUCCUAAGAGUUUGAAAAUGAACGUGCGUCAUCACAUUUUAAAGAGUGGAACUCUGAAAAAAACCAUUUGUUUUAUUCCUCUCAACAGGAGGAGACUUGAACGAAGUCACUUUUCAAUUGCAGGAUAAAAAUGAUGUUUUGACGAAGUGAGUUCUUUACUAGAGCUGAGAGCCACAGUAUCAAACUAGAUUUAAUUUGUUUAGAAGAAUGUAUAAUGCUAUUCAAGCUUCAAAGUUUAGAAAAAUGGUCCGUGAACGUACACUGACCUUUCAAUCUUACCAUGGAUUUAAGCGAUCAAUGUAAGCUUCUUUGGUCUCCCAGCUAGAAUGGAUUUGACAAAGUUGAUGGCCAGUCGCGAUUGUGGUCCUUCUGGGUAAAAGUUUAAGUCAAGGACGCUUCUUUGGUCUCCCAGCAUGGGUUUUGUCAGCGAUUUCAAAAAGCUGCAACUCAUCAAAUGACGUCAAAUGUGAGGCACGAGAAAGGGAAGCCCAUGUGAAAGUCCAGUGUAUGCUCUGAAAACUUUCUAUACAAUGCAAGAGAGAAGCUUUGAAAUGGUCUUCGAUUUGGCAAUUUAGCGGUGGCUAAACUGUAGAAUCCAGCUAUAAAAACCGCCACAAAGUUCGAACGUGAGCAGCAAGGCAUCUCGCAGCGUGUUCUUCGGAGUUGCAAAGUCUCAGCAAAGGUUCAAGAAAAAAUCUCGAUCCAUUUUUCCUCCUUUUGCAAGCAUGAAGAAGGUGACACUCUCAACUUGUGGGAGCUGCGAGGGAAAGACUGAUGCGCUUAAGAAGAUCAAAGGUAUGUGGAUUGGAAAUUUGAAAGCUGAUAUCGUUUCUUGUUUUUGAACAACAGGGGUUGAUAAGGUGGAAUGGGAGUCGUCAAGCCUGGUAGUGAUCGGCAAAUUUGAUGUGGACGACGUGGUCAAGGCGAUGGAUUGCCACCACAGCAUUCUUCGUUCUGUCGAGAACGAUUAUGAGCCCCCAAAGAAGGACAAGGAGAAGAAGGGCGGUGGUUCUAGCGUUGUAUAUGUUUACACCCACACCUACAAUCACUACAAUUGCAAGUGAACUUCAGGAGUUUCUGAUCUAAAAGCCAAGUUCUUAGGGUUUCUUAUUUCGCAUACUUUAGUUUAAAAUUUAACCCUCAAUUUAACGUAAGGGUUUAAGGAUGGAAUUAAAUUUUCAAAACUUGAAUAUUUUUUGAUCAAACUGAUGAAUAAUGCCGGUGCUCAGCCGUAGUCAAUACGAUCGGUGUGGAGUUCUAGAAUAGUAAACUAGCAGAGUUUUUUCCUACCUUACCUUUCUUUAUGUUAUAAAAAACAACCAUCGAUUAACUGGUCCGAACUCACGGGAAACAGCUUUUUGGGGCCGAAAUUUCCACGAAAUUGUUCCCGCAAGGACAAUUAUGAGAGAGUAGAAGAAGGAACAUCAUGAAGUUCAUCCCACGGUGCCACGCAAUGUGUUGGAAUAGUGGCAACGACCACUUCAAGUAGGGAAUCACCCAUUUGCUGCUGUAUGAUUUGCUGCUCAACUUGGAAUCUAAGUUCUGGGUUCAAACGCGACAACCUUUUGCAGGCUUUGAUGAAUCGGUCUCUCAUAAGAAGAAUAGACAGUUAAAGUUGCAACACAGCGGAUCUAGACGUGUGGAAUUUUCUUCUGCAUUAUGUCGUCUUUGACUAUUCGCUGAAAUCGCGAGGAAUUUGGUGGUGACGCGUCGUCCUACAAAGACUGUACCGUAGAAUCAAGCUAUAAAAACCGCAAACGUGAGCAGCAAGGCAUCUCGCAGCGUAUUUCUCGAUUUUCUGGCACAUCUUGAGCGAGCAACUCCAGUUUCCUUUCCUUGUAAGCAUGAAGAAGGCGACACUCUCAACUUGUGAAAACUGCAAGGGGAAGACUGACGCGCUCAAGAAGAUCAAAGGUAUAGCACAAUCUUUGCAUUGGAUCGCGGCCCUGAUUCCAUGAAAUCUCUGGUGCGGUUUUCCCAAUAGGGGUCGAUAAGGUGGAAUCGGAGUCGUCAGGCUGGUGGUGAUUGGAAAAUUUGAUGUGGACGACGUGCUAAAGGCGAUGGAUUGCCACCACAGUGUCCUUCGUUCCAUCGAGAACAAUUACGAGCCCCCCAAAAAGAAGGAAGCAGGCUCUAGCGUUAUAUAUGUGUACACCCACACCUACAACCAGUGGAAAACGUAUGAAACUAAAAAACGUAACGUUUUAAACGCGUUAAAAAACGCCGUUCUAAACUCCCAACGAGUUUGCACUAUUUGCGAAAAGAGACAAAGGUUUCUUUAGGGUUUCUUCAGAACUUCAUAAGGGAUCUCCCUCAUUGCUUUGCACGUUUUCACACCUCUUGCCCAAACUCCAGCACUCGCUCCGCUCCCCCAGUGUGAAUCUCAUGACAAU